GGCUCCCCUCCUGCUGUCCCUGUCUUGGCUGUUGUGCCAAGCCUGGUGCACUGGCAUGAGGUGGGGCAGAGGAUACCUGCUCAAUGGUAUGGAAAUU